AUUGAACGCUGGCGGCAGGCCUAACACAUGCAAGUCGAACGGUAACAGGAAGCAGCUUGCUGCUUCGCUGACGAGUGGCGGACGGGUGAGUAAUGUCUGGGAAACUGCCUGAUGGAGGGGGAUAACUACUGGAAACGGUAGCUAAUACCGCAUAACGUCGCAAGACCAAAGAGGGGGACCUUAGGGCCUCUUGCCAUCGGAUGUGCCCAGAUGGGAUUAGCUAGUAGGUGGGGUAACGGCUCACCUAGGCGACGAUCCCUAGCUGGUCUGAGAGGAUGACCAGCCACACUGGAACUGAGACACGGUCCAGACACCUACGGGAGGCAGCAGUGGGGAAUAUUGCACAAUGGCGCAAGCCUGAUGCAGCCAUGCCGCGUGUAUGAAGAAGGCCUUCGGGUUGUAAAGUACUUUCAGCGGGGAGGAAGGGAGUAAAGUUAAUACCUUUGCUCAUUGACGUUACCCGCAGAAGAAGCACCGGCUAACUCCGUG
rnacentral:rRNA from 1 species